CCUACGGGUGGCUGCAGUGGGGAAUAUUGGACAAUGGGGGCAACCCUGAUCCAGCCAUGCCGCGUGUGUGAAGAAGGCCCUCGGGUUGUAAAGCACUUUCAGUGAGGAAGAACGCCUGGUGGUUAAUACCCAUCAGGAAAGACAUCACUCACAGAAGAAGCACCGGCUAACUCCGUGCCAGCAGCCGCGGUAAUACGGAGGGUGCGAGCGUUAAUCGGAAUUACUGGGCGUAAAGCGCGCGUAGGUGGCUGGAUAAGCCGGUUGUGAAAGCCCCGGGCUCAACCUGGGAACGGCAUCCGGAACUGUCAAGCUAGAGUGCAGGAGAGGAAGGUAGAAUUCCCGGUGUAGCGGUGAAAUGCGUAGAGAUCGGGAGGAAUACCAGUGGCGAAGGCGGCCUUCUGGACUGACACUGACACUGAGGUGCGAAAGCGUGGGUAGCAAACAGGAUUAGAUACCCUGGUAGUC
rnacentral:rRNA from 1 species